UACGUAGGGUGCAAGCGUUAAUCGGAAUUACUGGGCGUAAAGCGUGCGCAGGCGGUCAUGCAAGACAGAUGUGAAAUCCCCGGGCUUAACCUGGGAACUGCAUUUGUGACUGCAUGACUAGAGUAUGGUAGAGGGGGAUGGAAUUCCGCGUGUAGCAGUGAAAUGCGUAGAUAUGCGGAGGAACACCGAUGGCGAAGGCAAUCCCCUGGACCUGUACUGACGCUCAUGCACGAAAGCGUGGGGAGCAAACAGG
rnacentral:rRNA from 1 species